GUUCUGUUCAUCUUUUUUUAUCUUCACCUUUCCUUCUCUCAUAUGCCUGAAUGUUCUGCUCAAGGUUCCUCUUGGUUUCAUAAGUCCUAUUUGCCCUUCUCCAAAUAAUUGAAUUUAUAUAUGCUUUAAUCUUAUAGAUUUCCAUUUCUUUGUGCAGUUCAGAAUCUCCGUUAAUAUGGAUUAGAGCUGAUCCAAAAAUGGACUAUCUUGUAAAAUGCCUUUUGAGAAUUUCUUUGUUUCUCUGUUUUGUUGAGCAGGUAUCCUUUAGGUGAUUGCAGAUUGUACUUUUACCAAUUAAGUAGUUAAUAUAUAUGUUUCUACUUUUUUUUUUUUGCUAGGUAAUAUAUCCUUCUACUUAGACCUUAUUAUUGCAUAAUCUGAAAAGAAAAUCCUCGCAAAAUGCUAAGACAUUGGCCUGAAGAUAAGCACCGUGCUCUUGGUUUGACUGGCUAAAACUUCGUCAGUCACUAGAUGUUUGAAUAUUACAUUGCUUUAGCCAAUACAGCAUCGGAGGAACUACAAUUAAUGGUUAUAGGUAAUUUAUCAAAUCAUUUCAUUUUCUUUCCUCUGCGAAGUACUUGGAGUGAUCCAUGCGAUAUUUUUGGACUGUGGUCCAUAAUUUUAUUCCUCUUGAGCAGCUUAUUCUUGAUAUGUUCUUGUUUUCAUAGAUUUAUGCUAGUGCUCCUGUCCAGUAGAGUGAUAAACCAAAUUAAAGUCAUUAUUGAAUGAAAGAGAAUACCAUAAUUAUGUUAGGGUAAGAAUUUUAUCAAGUAUACUAGAUCCCGAUGGUACAAAAACUAGGCAAUCCAGUUGUCGUCAUCAUAAAUGACACAAAAGAACUCUAUAAUAUACUUCGAAACAAUGAAUUGAGAAGCAGGCUGGAACUAGAUAUUAUGGCUAGAAACAAGAAUAACAAUGCCAAAUAGAGAAUAAGCAGCAAAAAUCAAAAUAAUCACGUAAGUCAUGCUCCAGAUCUGUAGAAAGCAAACAUCAGAAUAUAUCUUCAUUGCUGCUUUGAAUACGUAAAACCCAAGCCGAUACAAACUCAAUCCUGCAAACUCAGUUGUAGCUAUAAUGAAACAUUAACUCUAUUGCUUAGAAGCCAAUACAAACUCAGUCCUCAUCAAAUUAUUGAUAUCGUGCCUGAUUACAUCCUAUUCCAUCAUUUUUCAUGUCUAUGAUUGGCUUCUCUCAAAGUUAACUGUUCUGGUCUUUUCUUAGGAAGGAACUGCAGGGUUAUGAUUAGCAGGAAGAACUCGUUGCUUCUAAGCAUUUUCUAGAUGAUCUACUUUGAAUGACCUGGUCUAUGUUCUCAUCUAUGAAGAAGCGGCUCCAUCUGGGCAAUUUUAAUGACAGUGCUUUCCAAGAGGCCCUGUUGGAUUACAACAGGCAAUUGGCCAAUUCUGAGAGAUGGUCUAUGACUGUUGGGCCACUCAAACUCGACUCUCAGCAUUCUGUCAUUGGGAAGCUCUGUGGUUGCUCUUUCGAUCCUUAGUGCCAGAACAAUGCCCCUCUACAUCUGCAAACUGACUAUAUAGUCCUAGUUCCAUUAACUGCAAGAGGAAAUCGAGCUAUGUGGUGAUGGUAUAGCCAUCCUUGGGCACCUUCUUUAAGUCCUAAGCUGCUAUUUCCUUUAAGCGCUUCUACUAUCUUCAGUAAUAUACUUUUAAUUUGUUCCAGUGUCGUGUUGUACGUUCUGACGUAGUUAGUGAUGUCAUGAAUCCUGGGUUAAGCUCCUCUGAUGAUAAACUUGGGCUGGAGAUUCUGUGGCUGCUCUCAGUUUAUUAGAUCGUCGGUCUGACAUAGCGCUGGAGAAAGAAUCAUUGGAUCACAAGAAUUUUGAGAAAUUCUCUGUCGAUAUGCUGUCAUCUUCGUAAUUUGAGUAGGGAAGCAGAAGCAUGGGGCAGAGAGUUCAAAGCCAUUAAAGGCUACGUAAGAUUUCUUGUUCUACACAGACCAUAUGGAAGUUUGACAGAGAUGUCCCUGGAUAAGAACUCUCCAUUUUAUUCUGCUCUAGUUCCCAAAUUGCAAGGGUGAUUUUCGAGUCUGUGAUGAUUGUUUUUUACCUACCUCAGUCAUCUCCUUCAUAUCAGUGGGCAUGUCAAGUUUCCUUGAUGAAUCUGCAAAUGAUAGGCAUGUUUCCUGCCUCGUUGGUCAUCCUAAGUCUCUCUGAUUUGGAAAGAAAGGAAAAUGCAAGUUUUUCAAACUAGAAAAUAAUGAUCUUGAUUAAUUAAGUUGUCAGUGCAUGUAGACUUUGUUUGUUCAAGAGUAGUUUCUUUACCGAAAGUCGAGUUUAGGAUUAUUUAACUUAGCAGAUUGAUUGGUCAGUUGAUAUAUUGUGUUUGAGGUCUUAUUUAUACGUUCUGCUAUUUGGAUUUGUGAGAUGAAAUUCUUUGUACAGUUUGUCUUGAUGUUGGUAAAAUAUGUUGUGAGUUACAUAGUAAUAUUCAAAGCUGUAAAAGGAUGCAACUCAUACAUACCAGAUACUAUUAUCUUUGUCUGCGUGGUCUUUAUCGACUUCUGUCAGCUAAUUGCUCAAUUUCAUAUAGAACUGUAUACUUCUCCAUCCAGGUGAUCUGGUAUAUAUUUCUUAAACACUCAAUGAAACUGUUAUUUGGGAGUAAAAGGUUGAUCACAUCAAACGGUUAAAAGGAUCAGGAUCCAGAUACAUACAAACGUUUUAAAGGAUAAUGAUUUCUUGUGUUUGCUCAUUUUGCACUUGUGAUAUAUUUGUUUUUUGCUAUUAAAAUUAUGGAAUUCUCCUAACUAAUAGUUGUUUUCUGAUUUAUUUUACCGUAGCUUCUAAUUUAAUUUAGGUUUCUCAUAUGACUGGAUGUUCACCAAUAUCACGUUAAGUUCUUCAUAUUCAUGCUCUUUUCUUUUUUUCUUUUUCGGUUAUAUUCUUCAUGUUCAUGCUUAUGUUUAGCAUCUAUUCGUUAAAUAUUGAAUUUUUUUUUUAUCAAAAGAGGGUGUAGCACAGUGGCACACUCUCGCCUGGUAACUAAGAGAUUUCAUGUUUAAUAUUUAGUGGGACUAUCACAGUUUCUCUAUUCUCUCUAUUCUCGCAUUCUCUAGAUUAGAUUAUCGCAUCACGCAAGGUUCGCAUGGUAUUUAUGAUGACUUUAAACAAAGGAGCAAGAGCAAGAGGAGGACUUCAUUAGGAGACUUCAAUUAGAGAGACAGAUCUGCAGACUGGAAUUGUUAUAGUUGAGAGGACUUCGUCGGCGAGGAGGCAAGAGGGCUAUGAGGAGGUGAGCAGAGGAAGGUGAGUAGAGGCAGCAAAGGCCGAGCAAAGAAGGUGAAGGCUGGACUGGGGCUACUGGCUGGGGGAAGGGGGAGCGACAAUGCAACAGAGACACAGUCGCGAUGAACGGGAGAUCGCUGACGAAUGAGAGAGAUAGAGCCGCCAACGAAGAAGAGAUAGAGUUGCCUAUGAACAAUUUCGACAUUGUCAGCAAGAUGAGGUGCAGAUCUAUGUGUUGAGUUUCAUCGAAAGAGAGAACGCUUUUGGGGGAAGGAAGAAGGUGAGAUUGAACUGUGAAACUUUUUUUUUUUUUAAAUUGAAUUUCGAUUUUCGGUUGGAUUUGGUUCCUAGAAUUUGGGAACCGAGGCUGAACCAAAUAUUAUAUACUUAGUUCGGUAGAAACCAAACAGAACAAACUAAAUCGGUUAGGUUUACGGUUUGGUUCGGUGAACCGAAUAAUGGACAGGCCUAGCGCUACCGCCUCAACCCUAGCCGCCUUGGUCCCUACCACCUCCAUGGAAGCCCCUACUACUGGCACCAGAUAUCUAUUUAUUGCCCUCUAUAGUAAAAUUUCUUGGUAGGUAUUAUUAUUGUAUAAAGGGUUUCUAGACUUUUAUGUAUAAAUAUUUUGAUAACCUGCGAAUAUGAUUGUUUCGGUUGAGAGGUUUUAGUAUAGGAAGAGGAGAGGGGAGGAGAGGAGUGAUAAAAUGUCGUUGAAAAGUAGAAAGUAGAAAGACUUCCUCCAAACUCCCCCGAUUUGAAUGAUUGGCAGAAUGUUCCCAAUGGAGGAAGUAGAAGGAGAAUGAUCUCCCUUCAUUUCCCUUUGUCUUCCCCCCUCUCCCUCAAUGCAUGCACUUUAGUCCUCUCCUUCCCAAUCCCUUCUCCCAUUUCUGUGCAAAAUCUCUCUUCUUAGUUUUGAUGAUUCAAGAGAUGGAAGGAGGAAACCACGUUUCUAUGGAAACAAGUCUGAUGUUGUGCAUAUAAUUCAUGCUUUUUUGUCAGUUAUGUCUCAAGGCUGUAAUUUCUAUUUUUGAUAUUUUUGUUUUAAUGUUCAGUUGCUUUAGUUGAAUCAGUCAUAGCACUAGGCCAUGUAUUUAGGAAGCAGUUAAGUUGUUGCUAAGUUAGUGGGAAAAGAAAGCUGAGGUUGUUCAGCUCAUUUGUUUUUAUAUAAUGCAGUUAAUCAAUGAAAGUAUAUCCUAUUCUUCUUC